CUGUAUUGCUGUGAAUCUCCAGAAGUCUUUUAGGGAUGAAGACCUUCACGUGACUUUCCAUCGACUUUGGGGUGGACAGAUGAUGAUUGAAUUUCAAAUUUUUCGCCCAUCUCUGCUUUACAACUUAACGCCACUUAUUUUGUAGGCACCUUGUUUGACAUCCGGUUUCGCUCUGUCUUUUUCCGGGACGCUUGACGCUGCUGUGACUGUGAGAAAGUUUUGGUUGAAUCCUCCCGAUCCAAGAGCGGUGACGUCAUCAAAUCAACUCCUGCAGCUGUCAACGAUGAAUAAACGCUGUUGUCUUCAAGUGUCCUGGGAAAUAUGGGUACUGUGUUAUGAGCAGCACCUACGCUGCUCCACGAGUCGCUAAACGUCUGGGCAGCUUGACUUCAAAAGGAAACAAGAGCCAUCAGAAAACUGCUUUAAGUUCAUGGUGUAGAAGAAACAGGUAAGAGAGCAUAUCAAGUCUCAUUCACAGUUUACAGAGCUGCGCUUGAUGUGUAACGCCUGAGGGCAGCAGCAGUGCUGGCAGCAAGACAAGAUUCUGCAGUCAAGUAAAUAAUGUUGCAAUGUUGUAAUACCUGUUAAAUCAUGAAACACAUCAAUGGGACAAGCAAGCAGAAGAUACCAGUUAUUUCACAUUUUAUUUCUUGUCAUUCUAACACAGGAUGUCUCUCCAUAUGGAACACACAUAGUGUAAUGUACAAGUGAACUGGAUAAGAUGUGCAGAUCAUUAUGCAGUGAAGACAACCAUCAUGAAGAUUCCUCUUCCAAAGAAGAAAGCAUACAUGUGUUAGAAGGUUCCUUUCUUUAAGAUUUUUUUUAAUUUUUUUUUUUUAAGAGUUUCUGUGAAAAAUGAACGUAGAAACUUUUCUA